rnacentral:rRNA from 1 species
ACAAGUGCGUAUGGCGGAUGCCUAUGGCUCUCAGAGGCGAUGAAGGACGUGACAAGCUGCGAUAAGCUACGGUUAUUGGCAAAUACGAUUUAACCCGUAGAUUUCCGAAUGGGGCAACCCAUUACAUUGAAGAUGUAAUAUUGUUUAUUUUAUAUAAGCAAGGCGAACGUGGGGAACUGAAACAUCUAAGUACCCAUAGGAGGAGAAAAUAAUAAUGAUUCCGUAAGUAGUGGCGAGCGAACGCGGAUUAGCCCAAACCAAUAUUGUUACGGCGAUAUUGGGGUUGUAGGGCUGCGUGAUUGGACGUAUAUAGAUUACUAGAACUAUCUGGAAAGUUAGGCCAAAGAAGGUGAUAGUCCUGUAUAGGAAAGUUUAUAUAUACCAUAGCAGUACCCUGAGUAAGGCGGGGCCGGAGAAACCCUGUUUGAAUCUAGCAGCACCAUCUGCUAAGGCUAAAUACUCCUGAGAGACCGAUAGUGAACAAGUACUGUGAAGGAAAGGUGAAAAGUACCGUGAGCAACGGAGUGAAAUAGACCCUGAAACCAUACGCAUACAAGCGGUCGGAGCGGAUUUUUUUGUAUCCGUGACGGCGUGCCUUUUGCAUAAUGAGCCUACGAGUUAAUUUCACUAGCGAGGUUAAGGACUUCAGGUCUGCAGCCGUAGCGAAAGCGAGUCUUAACAGGGCGUUUUAGUUAGUGGUAUUAGACGCGAAACUUAGUGAUCUACCCUUGUGCAGGUUGAAGUCUUGGUAACACAAGAUGGAGGACCGAACCCAUAGAAGUUGAAAAUUCUUGGGAUGACGUGAGGGUAGGGGUGAAAGGCUAAUCAAACUGAGAGAUAGCUCGUACUCCCCGAAAAGCUUUUAGGAGCUGCCUUAGAUGUUUCUUUAUAGAGGUAGAGCUACUGAUAGGAUGCGGGGGCUUCACCGCCUACCAAUUUCUGACAAACUCCGAAUGCUAUUAAAGAUAAAAAUCUAGGAGCUAGGUUAUGGGUGCUAAGGUCCGUAACCGAGAGGGAAACAACCCAGACCAUCAGCUAAGGUCCCCAAAUAUAUGCUAAGUUGUUUUAACGCGGUAUGACUGCUUAGACAGCUAGGAUGUUGGCUUGGAAGCAGCCAUUCAUUUAAAGAGUGCGUAACAGCUCACUAGUCGAGUGGUCGUGCAUGGAUAAUGAUCGGGCAUAAGCAUAUUACCGAAGCUAUGGGGUGCAUAUUUUUAUGUACUGGUAGGGGAGCAUUCUAUAUUGCGUUGAAGCAUAAGACGUGAGUCAUGAUGGAGCAUAUAGAAACGAAAAUGUAGGCAUGAGUAACGAUAAUGCGGGUGAGAACCCCGCACACCGAAAGACUAAGGUUUCCUGAUCAACGAUAAUCGGAUCAGGGUAAGUCGGGACCUAAGGCUAAGUCGAAGGGCGAAGUCGAUGGCCAAUCGGUUAAUAUUCCGAUACUAAUUAGUAUUGCGAUGGACUGACGGAGUAGUGAACGUACUGCGUACUGACGGAAAUGUACGUUAAAUGGUGUAGAUAUAUUUUAGGUAGGCAAAUCCGCCUAAGAUGUCGAACCUUAUAGUACCGAGAGCCCACGGGCGAUUGGAUAAUGUACCUAAUCAUACUUCCAAGAAAAGGUUCUAAGCAUAGAUACUAAUUACCCGUACCGUAAACCGACACAGGUAGUUGGGGAGAGUAUCCUCAGGUGCUCGAGUGAUCCGUGGCUAAGGAACUAGGCAAAUUCGUCCUGUAACUUCGGGAUAAAGGACCCCUGCUUUUUAAGUGGGGCGCAGCGAAAUGGCCCAGGCGACUGUUUAUCAAAAACACAUGGCUUUGCAAAAUCGUAAGAUGACGUAUAAGGCCUGACACCUGCCCGGUGCUGGAAGGUUAAGAGGAGAGCUUAGCUUCACUUGUUGGAGCGAAGGUUUGAAUUGAAGCCCCAGUAAACGGCGGCCGUAACUAUAACGGUCCUAAGGUAGCGAAAUUCCUUGUCGGGUAAGUUCCGACCUGCACGAAUGGUGCAACGACCUGGGCACUGUCUCAGCCACGCGCUCGGUGAAAUUGUAAUAGCGGUGAAGAUGCCGCUUACCCGCAACGGGACGGAAAGACCCCGUGAACCUUCACUAUAGCUUAACAUUGGUUUUGGAUAAAUGAUGUGCAGGAUAGGUGGGAGACUAUGAUUAGGUAUCGCCAGAUAUCUAUGAGUCGUUGUUGAAAUACCACCCUUUAUUUAUUUGGGAUCUAACCUAGGUUGUCUAGGGACAUUGUUUGGUGGUUAGUUUGACUGGGGUGGUCGCCUCCAAAAGCGUAACGGAGGCUUUCAAAGGUACCCUCAGCACGUUUGGUAACCGUGCGUCGAGUGCAAUAGCAUAAGGGUGCUUGACUGUGAGGCUUACAAGCCGAUCAGGUAGGAAACUAGGAUAUAGUGAUCCGGUGGUUCCGUAUGGAAGGGCCAUCGCUCAAAGGAUAAAAGGUACUCCGGGGAUAACAGGCUAAUCGCCCCCAAGAGCUCAAAUCGACGGGGUGGUUUGGCACCUCGAUGUCGGCUCGUCACAUCCUGGGGCUGGAGAAGGUCCCAAGGGUUGGGCUGUUCGCCCAUUAAAGUGGCACGCGAGCUGGGUUCAGAACGUCGUGAGACAGUUCGGUCCCUAUCUGUUGUGGGCGUUGGAAAUUUGCGAGGAUCUGACUUUAGUACGAGAGGACCGAGUUGGACUGACCUCUAGUUUACCAGUUGUGGCGCCAGCUGCACCGCUGGGUAGCUACGUCGGGUUGGGAUAAGUGCUGAAAGCAUCUAAGUACGAAACCCACCUCAAGAUGAGAUUUCCUUAUUAGGGAGGUUGUAGACUACGACCUUGAUAGGUUACAGGUGUAAAGGCAGUAAUGUCAAAGCCGAGUAAUACUAAUAUCCCGAAUACUUCCAUGU